AGAGUUUGAUCAUGGCUCAGGACGAACGCUGGCGGCGUGCUUAACACAUGCAAGUCGAACGGAAAGGUCUCUUCGGAGAUGCUCGAGUGGCGAACGGGUGAGUAACACGUGGGUGAUCUGCCCUGCACUUCGGGAUAAGCUUGGGAAACUGGGUCUAAUACCGGAUAGGACUACGGCAUGCAUGUGCUGUGGUGGAAAGUUUUUAACGGUGUGGGAUGGGCCCGCGGCCUAUCAGCUUGUUGGUGGGGUGAUGGCCUACCAAGGCGACGACGGGUAGCCGGCCUGAGAGGGUGAUCGGCCACACUGGGACUGAGACACGGCCCAGACUCCUACGGGAGGCAGCAGUAGGGAAUUUUGCGCAAUGGGCGGAAGCCUGACGCAGCGACGCCGCGUGAGGGAUGACGGCCUUCGGGUUGUAAACCUCUUUCAGCCCUGACGAAGCGAGAGUGACGGUAGGGGUAGAAGAAGCACCGGCCAACUACGUGCCAGCAGCCGCGGUAAUACGUAGGGUGCGAGCGUUGUCCGGAAUUAUUGGGCGUAAAGAGCUCGUAGGCGGCCUGCCGCGUCGACGUGUGAAAACUCGGGGCUUAACCCUGAGCUUGCAGUUGAUACGGGCAGGCUAGAGUUCGGUAGGGGAGACUGGAAUUCCUGGUGUAGCGGUGAAAUGCGCGAUAUCAGGAGGAACACCGGUGGCGAAGGCGGGUCUCUGGGCCGAUACUGACGCUGAGGAGCGAAAGCGUGGGGAGCGAACAGGAUUAGAUACCCCGGUAGUCC
rnacentral:rRNA from 1 species